CUUCGCGUAAUUAUUUAAGAAUUUUGGUGACCCCGUAGUUUUGAAACACGGGAGUGCUGUGAAAAUAAAAAGAGUGUUUACAAAAAUAAAAAACAACCAAAACGAAGUGAAUUAAAAAAAAUUUAUAUCCAAAUUUACAGCCACACCACAUUCUACCAAGAGGCUAUCGCUAAAGAGGUACUUGGCUGUCGGUAUAAAACGCUAGGGGUAGAGACCUCCGAAUCAUAAAACACAAUAUGGAAGUCAACACAGGAACGAAGCGGACUGGGAUAUCAAUCCAAACCACCCGUGGACACAGUGAUCCUAUAAGCUGUAUCGGCAGCGGCCUCACUACCACUGUAACGGGUGCAGGUUGCGGUGGUUGUUCCACUACUGCCAAACCAGCUCUCUCUCGUAAGGGUGUCACAGUCCAUGAAGACUCUAGGAUCACUAAAGCGUUUCAAAUAUAAAUGCAGAAAAGAAGAAUGGACGAAGAACCAAGCACACCCAAGUUGUCAUUUCAUGGAGCAGGAUGACUUAUACCAGAUGCGGUGAACCGCAGCAAUAUUUCAUCUGUGCGGCUACUAAAACGACAGAAUCACGAGGUGUUGGCUAGCAAGUGAAGUGUUUUAAAUCGGUCAACGAAGAUGGAAACCAAAGCUACAUCCACCAGAUCAAUAAGGCAGCAGAGGAUAGGGAAGAUGGCGUGGGGCGUUGGAAGCGUGUUUCUUCGAGUCAAGAAUCGGCAAGCGGCAACAAAAACACGUUGGAUAAGGGUAAAGUGGAAAAGGAUCUCGACAUAGAUGAGAUCAUGGCGACUUCACUUGUCCUGCAGGAGGUGGAUGUGGAAAAAGAACCCAUGGUUUGCAUCGCUUAAAGUGGUCAGUGGAUUAAAGCCACAAAACUACGCAUUAUACAUCCCGAGUGUAAUUAACGAGAUGAUUUGUGGCAGUGAAAGAUGCCAAGGAUGAGUCGUCUAACUCCUUGCAUCCUGCUAUAAGCCACAUGAUUGCGAGGUGUCAAUGGCAGAGCUCAAAAGGCUGGGGGUGGUGGGACGUUAGCACUAGUCCAUCGUAUGAUUUGGGACAGCCCUGACAUCAACCAGCGAGAUGAGUCUCUACUCGAUUAUAUUUUACAAAGUAGUCUAGUGGUAACUAGUGGAGGUGAGAACCUACCCAUAUAGGACCUACCUCUAGAAACGUUCUAGGCAUAACAUUGUACACAAGGUCUCCGACGCUUCCUUCUGGGUGUUGCAAACUUCGUGACAAACUUAAUAUACCCUGUUCAGGGUAUAAAAAGAUGAUUGGCGUAAAGAUAUGUCAGCUAAGCGCAACACUCUAAACAAUUAUACGGAUGGCUCUAGAAUAGAGGAUGGAGUUGGCGCGGGGAUAUACCGUCCAGAGUUAGGCCUAAGGCAGCCUUUUGUGUUACCGGACUGCAGUAUAUUUCAAGCUAAGGUCUUUGCCAUUGAUAUCAAUUCCAUAGUCAACAUCUACGUAAACCGCCAAGCGGCAAUCAAGGCAGUAACCUCGUAUCGCACAUCGGUCAGAAGUUUCUAGAGGAGCAGGACAGCAGUGGAAAAUGUUGUCAGAAGUAAGCAACUUCACCGGGGAAAUAGUAAACGAGAUUGCCAAGAAUGGAGUACCGCUAACACUCGAAAACGUGACCAACAUUGGGGAACCCAUGCAUUGUCUAUACAACGAUCUGGACGGGAGAAUGAUAAAGAAAAUCUAAAUCCGAUGGACCGGAAGUACACAACUGUACGUUUUUCUUGAAUUGUAUUGUAUCUACGUUAUGAUAUUUUUGAAAAUAUUAUUUCA